UUUAUUGUCUUUUUAUUAUUUAAAUAAUAUAGUGAAGAUGUCUCCUUGGAGAAUAUGGCGAUAAACGCGCUCGUAAUACACGGAUCGGACCCGGGGGGCGGUACCCGGCGACUCCACCAAACAUCCUUCAUUUGGGGAUUAUGGGGUCGAAAUAGGAUCGACGGACGUUUAAAGGUGUUAGCUUUUGCUCGGUGAGAUACCACCGUUAUCGGUUCAAUAAGUACAAUUGCAAAUGACAAUAGUGCUCCGAGAGCUUUGGCUGCGUAAGCAGUUCGAGUAAUCGAAAAUUAAGUCCAUGCGCCUAGCCGCGUCUGGCGGGGUUUGUAGGCACCUGGCAACAGAAGCCUACGCU
rnacentral:tmRNA from 1 species